AGGAACCGGCUCUUGAGACACGUGUCUGUCUUCCAUCCUCUCCCCUUCUCUCCCCAUACGUCUAUCUGUCUCUCGUCGACGGCUUUGCUCAAGUCUUUCGUCGAUGUUGCUCCAGACUCCCACUUCCCUACCCAGAACCUCCCUUAUGGCGUCUUCAGGCCUGAUUCGAACUCCACUCCUCGUCCUGCUGUCGCUAUUGGAGAUUUCGUCCUGGACCUCUCAGCGAUCUCCGAAGCUGGGCUUUUCGAUGGUCUGAUCCUCAACGGCGCCGAUUGCUUCCUUCGGAGCGGACUUUCAUUGUGUUGGACAAAGAUUUCAUAAAGGGUGACUUGUCUCAUGGUGAACCUCAUGUAGAAGGUUUGUUUCCUGAGUUGCUUCCCUUGAGGAACUGGUGCAUAAAGAAGACUACUUGACCAUGCAUUAGUUUGUAGUCUUCUAUGUAGCUACUGUGACUAAGCGACUUGUUAUCAUUACUACUGCAACACCCUCUCUCUUUAGUUGUUAUAGUGGAAUUGUUCUUACAAUUAAAAUGGAAAUGAGAACAUAUCUACAAGUCUGCUCCUUUGUUAGUGGUCUAGAUCAUUAGUUAUUGGUUUGGCUUGAUUGUUUUCACGCUGAGUGAGUCACUGUAACAAGUAACCAAGCUUUUGUUUGCAGCCAUGACGAAGUUUUGCUAAUUUUCAGGCUACUAUUGGUAUUGAUUUUCAGGAGCUACUAUUUUGAUCUGUCUAUGGUUGCUUGAUGUA